rnacentral:rRNA from 1 species
CCUACGGGGUGCAGCAGUGGGGAAUAUUGGACAAUGGGCGAAAGCCUGAUCCAGCCAUGCCGCGUGUGUGAAGAAGGCCUUCGGGUUGUAAAGCACUUUCAGUGGGGAAGAAAGCCUUGGGGCUAAUACCCUCGAGGAAGGACAUCACCCACAGAAGAAGCACCGGCUAACUCCGUGCCAGCAGCCGCGGUAAUACGGAGGGUGCGAGCGUUAAUCGGAAUUACUGGGCGUAAAGCGCGCGUAGGCGGUCUGAUAAGCCGGUUGUGAAAGCCCCGGGCUCAACCUGGGAACGGCAUCCGGAACUGUCAGGCUAGAGUGCAGGAGAGGAAGGUAGAAUUCCCGGUGUAGCAGUGAAAUGCGUAGAGAUCGGGAGGAAUACCAGUGGCGAAGGCGGCCUUCUGGACUGACACUGACGCUGAGGUACGAAAGCGUGGGUAGCAAACAGGAUUAGAUACCCGAGUAGUC